rnacentral:rRNA from 1 species
AUUGAACGCUGGCGGCAUGCUUUACACAUGCAAGUCGAACGGUAACAGGCCGCAAGGUGCUGACGAGUGUCGAACGGGUGAGUAAUGCAUCGGAACGUGCCCAGUCGUGGGGGAUAACGCAGCGAAAGCUGUUCUAAUACCGCAUACGAUCUAUGGAUGAAAGCGGGGGACCGUAAGGCCUCGCACGAUUGGAGCGGCCGAUGUCAGAUUAGGUAGUUGGUGGGGUAAAGGCCUACCAAGACGACGAUCUGUAGCUGGUCUGAGAGGACGACCAGCCACACUGGGACUGAGACACGGCCCAGACUCCUACGGGAGGCAGCAGUGGGGAAUUUUGGACAAUGGGCGCAAGCCUGAUCCAGCAAUGCCGCGUGCAGGAAGAAGGCCUUCGGGUUGUAAACUGCUUUUGUACGGAACGAAACGGUCUGGGUUAAUACCCUGGGCUAAUGACGGUACCGUAAGAAUAAGCACCGGCUAACUACGUGCCAGCAGCCGCCGUAAGAC